UAUUGUCAAGAGUGCUAGUAAACAAAGUGGUUUUCUUAUUGUAGAGGUUUUAUAAAGUGAAUGAUUGUGUUUAUUAAGUAUUUAAUGGAGGUGUAAGAAGUUUUUACGUACAAUUAACAUGGUGGGGUGUUCAGUGGUUGCCUACAAAAGCAAUAGCUUGCGAAAAUAAGCGGGUGUAACAUUUUAUGCCUUUCCGACGGAGGAUGAAAUUGUUAAAGAAUGGAUUGCGGGAACUAGAAAAUCAAAUUGGAUGCCUCACAAAUACUCGCGUAUUUGUUCCAAACAUUUUGAACAACAUUGUGUCCGCAAACUGGGCAAACGAACUUUCAUCGAAAAGUUUUCUUUUCCAACCUUGUUCAUACACGAGAGGAGAGAGAAAAUUCUUUUCUUCAUCAUGUCAUGGAAAUCGUCCAUUCGUGCACGUCGUCGUCGUGGCAGUCUCAACAGCAUUCUGAAGCUAUUAUUGAACUUCAUAUAAUUGAUCCACAGGUUACAA